rnacentral:rRNA from 1 species
CCUACGGGGGGCAGCAGUCGAGAAUCAUUCACAAUGGGGGAAACCCUGAUGGUGCGACGCCGCGUGGGGGAAUGAAGGUCUUCGGAUUGUAAACCCCUGUCAUGUGGGAGCAAAUUAACAAGAUAGUACCACAAGAGGAAGAGACGGCUAACUCUGUGCCAGCAGCCGCGGUAAUACAGAGGUCUCAAGCGUUGUUCGGAAUCACUGGGCGUAAAGCGUGCGUAGGCUGUUUCGUAAGUCGUGUGUGAAAGGCGCGGGCUCAACCCGCGGACGGCACAUGAUACUGCGAGACUAGAGUAGUGGAGGGGGAACCGGAAUUCUCGGUGUAGCAGUGAAAUGCGUAGAUAUCGAGAGGAACACUCGUGGCGAAGGCGGGUUCCUGGACAUUAACUGACGCUGAGGCACGAAGGCCAGGGGAGCGAAAGGGAUUAGAUACCCGGGUAGUC